rnacentral:rRNA from 1 species
UACGUAGGGGGCAAGCGUUAUCCGGAUUUACUGGGUGUAAAGGGAGCGUAGACGGUGUGGCAAGUCUGAUGUGAAAGGCAUGGGCUCAACCUGUGGACUGCAUUGGAAACUGUCAUACUUGAGUGCCGGAGGGGUAAGCGGAAUUCCUAGUGUAGCGGUGAAAUGCGUAGAUAUUAGGAGGAACACCAGUGGCGAAGGCGGCCUACUGGACGGUAACUGACGUUGAGGCUCGAAAGCGUGGGGAGCAAACAGG